rnacentral:rRNA from 1 species
AAAUUGAAGAGUUUGAUCAUGGCUCAGAUUGAACGCUGGCGGCAGGCCUAACACAUGCAAGUCGAACGGUAACAGAAAGCAGCUUGCUGCUUUGCUGACGAGUGGCGGACGGGUGAGUAAUGUCUGGGAAACUGCCUGAUGGAGGGGGAUAACUACUGGAAACGGUAGCUAAUACCGCAUAACGUCGCAAGACCAAAGAGGGGGACCUUAGGGCCUCUUGCCAUCGGAUGUGCCCAGAUGGGAUUAGCUAGUAGGUGGGGUAACGGCUCACCUAGGCGACGAUCCCU